rnacentral:rRNA from 1 species
UGGGGAAUAUUGCACAAUGGGCGCAAGCCUGAUGCAGCCAUGCCGCGUGUAUGAAGAAGGCCUUCGGGUUGUAAAGUACUUUCAGCGGGGAGGAAGGUGGUAAGGUUAAUAACCUUAUCAAUUGACGUUACCGACAGAAGAAGCACCGGCUAACUCCGUGCCAGCAGCCGCGGUAAUACGGAGGGUGCAAGCGUUAAUCGGAAUUACUGGGCGUAAAGCGCACGCAGGCGGUCUGUCAAGUCGGAUGUGAAAUCCCCGGGCUUAACCUGGGAACUGCAUUCGAAACUGGCAGGCUAGAGUCUUGUAGAGGGGGGUAGAAUUCCAGGUGUAGCGGUGAAAUGCGUAGAGAUCUGGAGGAAUACCGGUGGCGAAGGCGGCCCCCUGGACAAAGACUGACGCUCAGGUGCGAAAGCGUGGGGAGCAAACAGG